GACGAACGCUGGCGGCGUGCUUAACACAUGCAAGUCGAACGGAAAGGCCCUGCUUUGGUGGGGUGCUCGAGUGGCGAACGGGUGAGUAACACGUGAGUAACCUGCCCUUGACUUUGGGAUAACUUCAGGAAACUGGGGCUAAUACCGGAUAGGAGCUCCUGCUGCAUGGUGGGGGUUGGAAAGUUUCGGCGGUUGGGGAUGGACUCGCGGCUUAUCAGCUUGUUGGUGGGGUAGUGGCUUACCAAGGCUUUGACGGGUAGCCGGCCUGAGAGGGUGACCGGCCACAUUGGGACUGAGAUACGGCCCAGACUCCUACGGGAGGCAGCAGUGGGGAAUAUUGCACAAUGGGCGGAAGCCUGAUGCAGCCACGCCGCGUGCGGGAUGACGGCCUUCGGGUUGUAAACCGCUUUCGCCUGUGACGAAGCGUGAGUGACGGUAAUGGGUAAAGAAGCACCGGCUAACUACGUG
rnacentral:rRNA from 1 species